GCUCAGAGAUGGUUCGCUCCAGCCUCUCUCUGGCUUCACGCUCUCUGCGUAGCUCUUCCUGCAGCUCCUCGCGGUCUUCCUCAGCACGGUCCAGCCUCUGACGCAGCUCUGAUAACUAAGCACAGGAUACCAUUGGCCGUGUGGUGAUGUUGCACUCCCUAAUAUAGGACAGAAACUUGAAUCUGAAUAGUGGAGGAAAUAUGGACGUUUCUCCCAUCAGCAGCCGCACGGGAUUCCGUCUCGGAGUUCACAGCAGAACGAGCGCCCGUCGCCCUGACACCGAUAACACUGGAGCGGACUUCAUGCUGAGAGACGAGACGAGACGUCAAUCCACAACCCAACAACCUACGUC